rnacentral:rRNA from 1 species
AUUGAACGCUGGCGGCAGGCCUAACACAUGCAAGUCGAGCGGAUGAAGGGAGCUUGCUCCUGGAUUCAGCGGCGGACGGGCGAGUAAUGCCUAGGAAUCUGCCUGGCAGUGGGGGAUAACGUCCGGAAACGGGCGCUAAUACCGCAUACGUCCUGAGGAGAAAGGGGGGGAAGCUCGGACCCUACGCAACUAGAUGAGCCUAGGUCGGAUUAGCUAGUUGGUGGGGUAAAGGCCUACCAAGGCGACGAUCCGUAACUGGUCUGAGAGGAUGAUCAGUCACACUGGAACUGAGACACGGUCCAGACUCCUACGGGAGGCAGCAGUGGGGAAUAUUGGACAAUGGGCGAAAGCCUGAUCCAGCCAUGCCGCGUGUGUGAAGAAGGUCUUCGGAUUGUAAAGCACUUUAAGUUGGGAGGAAGGGCAGUAAGUUAAUACCUUGCUGUUUUGACGUUACCAACAGAAUAAGCACCGGCUAACUUCGUG